AGCGGCGGACGGGUUAGUAACGCGUGGGAACGUACCCUUUUCUACGGAAUAGCCUUUGGAAACGAAGAGUAAUACCGUAUACGCCCUUUGGGGGAAAGAUUUAUCGGAGAAGGAUCGGCCCGCGUUAGAUUAGAUAGUUGGUGGGGUAACGGCCUACCAAGUCUACGAUCUAUAGCUGGUUUUAGAGGAUGAUCAGCAACACUGGGACUGAGACACGGCCCAGACUCCUACGGGAGGCAGCAGUGGGGAAUCUUAGACAAUGGGCGCAAGCCUGAUCUAGCCAUGCCGCGUGAGUGAUGAAGGCCUUAGGGUCGUAAAGCUCUUUCGCCUGUGAUGAUAAUGACAGUAGCAGGUAAAGAAACCCCGGCUAACUCCGUGCCAGCAGCCGCGGUAAUACGGAGGGGGUUAGCGUUGUUCGGAAUUACUGGGCGUAAAGCGCACGUAGGCGGAUUGGAAAGUUGGGGGUGAAAUCCCGGGGCUCAACCCCGGAACUGCCUCCAAAACUAUCAGUCUAGAGUUCGAGAGAGGUGAGUGGAAUUCCAAGUGUAGAGGUGAAAUUCGUAGAUAUUUGGAGGAACACCAGUGGCGAAGGCGGCUCACUGGCUCGAUACUGACGCUGAGGUGCGAAAGUGUGGGGAGCAAACAGGAUUAGAUACCCUGGUAGUCCACACCGUAAACGAUGAAUGCCAGUCGUCGGGCAGUAUACUGUUCGGUGACACACCUAACGGAUUAAGCAUCCGCCUGG
rnacentral:rRNA from 1 species